rnacentral:tRNA from 1 species
ACUUAUUUAGCUUAUGAGAGCGCAGCGUUGAAGGUGCUGAGGAGGUUGAUGUAAACUAAUAUGUA